UCUUCCCGCUAUUUUCAGGACUCAGAGGCUACAAGAAGAAAAAAAUAAAAGCGCAUCUGACGCACUUAGGAAAUGGGAGCUGAAUAUCCAGAGUACUGAGGAGACCUAUGACCAGAAACUCAAGAAUGAGCUGCUCAAGUAUCAACUUGAACUCAAGGACGACUACAUCGCUAGAACUAACAAGCUGAUGGAAGAUGAAAGGAAGAAUAAAG